rnacentral:lncRNA from 1 species
ACGGGAGGGACGCGGUGGGCCACCUGGUGCGCGCCAGCGGGGCCGCAAAGACAGCCGGCCGGUGUGAACUUCGGGGCUACAGGAUCCGCUGGGCCGAACCUACGGCCCCGCGGGCCGGGUGGCCAAGUUCCACUUGAUACCAACUAUAUUUUAAAAAUGCACAAUUUAAUCAGAACAAGGGCUGACCAUUUUGAAGGACCUUUAUUUCCUUGAUGCUCCCGGUCUUUGUCUUCAUCUUCUAUCGUCUCUCAUAGAAUGGCUGAGCUCUGUGUGUAUCACUAAGGUAUCAAACGUGAUGACCACCAGGGUGAUGAUGAUGACGACGUCAAUGAUAGUA